CUGGAGCAGUUCCACGGACCGGGACAACAUUCCUUGCACAUCCCAAAACCACGGCAGCCCUGCCCAUCCCCACAGGGACACAGGGGACAGGGCCCAGCGUCCCCCCGGCAGGACAGGGGACCCGAUCCCAGCUCCUCACCGCGCAGGGAGGGAUCCGGCCCCGCCCAGGCUCGGGGCUGAAUCCUUUGUCUGCUCCCUCCCCUCGACAGAACAAUCCGGGAUUUAAGGCCACCAGUGCCGAGGUCAGCGAGGUCCGUGAGCCGGAGCUGAUCCCGGAGUUGGGAUGGGCUUGCCCGGGACUGCCGGGACUCCCCAGCCCCGCGCUGUCUCCUUGUCCCAGGCGCCGGGGUGCAAACCCGGAGCAGUUCUGCCUCCCAAAAUCCACGGCUGGGGCUGGGGCAGGGAGGAGCUCCGGGAGGGGUGAAGGUGCAACGGGGAGUGGGGACGGGCCUGGGAGCAGCACGGGGACAGCAGGAGUGCCACAGCGUCCUGCAGGAGUGCCACAGUGUCCUGCAGGAGUGCCACAGUGUCCUGCCAGGGGACAUCAGGAGUGCCACAGCCUCCUGCAGGAGUGCCACAGCCUCCUGCCAGGGACAGGCCACUUUAGUGUUAGCCACACGGAUCCCCGAAUCCGCCCUUCCCGGGGGCUCUGCCGGGGCCCCCGAGCCCCGCGGGCGGUGGGAGAGCGCCAGAGCUGCCCUUAACUGAGAACAAAACAAAACCAAACCAAGAACAAAACCCCAGAAAGGGAAGGAGAGGUCAGUCCGUGCGGGCGCUCCCGGGGCCAUCAUCUGCCCGCAGGCUGCGACUGUGGGGCCACGAUGACGGGCGAGGCGGCCGGCACGGCCAGCUCUGUCCUGUGCCCGGCCAGCUGCGCCAGCACCGAGGUGGCCACGGCCUCGGCGGCCGAGCGCGCGGCGCCCAGCCCGUUGGCCGAGCCGGGCUGGAUGACGGGCGCGGGCGAGCCCGAGGGCUCCGAGCUCUCCUUCGGGCUCUCUGCGGGGCGGCGGGA
rnacentral:lncRNA from 1 species